rnacentral:rRNA from 10 species
UCUGGCGGCUGUAGCGCGGUGGUCCCACCUGACCCCAUGCCGAACUCAGAAGUGAAACGCCGUAGCGCCGAUGGUAGUGUGGGGUCUCCCCAUGCGAGAGUAGGGAACUGCCAGGC